AUCAGACACUUUUCUAUAAGAUCGAAAGAGUAACUUAUUAGACUACAAACCUACACAAGAAAAUGAGGAUUCAGCGUCUAUUACCUUUCUCCAUUUGUUUGAUUACGAGUAUGUAUAUGGCAGAAGCAGUAUGUAAUCAAUCUAAAGUUGGGGAAUGUGGUAGAAAGUACUUAGCGAAUUUGAUUGAUAUAGGCUUUGGUUCUGGCAAUAAAGAAUAUAAGAUGGACAAAAUAUGCUCGGAGUUGAACACCUAUGUUACAUGCUCCAAGACUGCUGGAUGUUAUACUAGUGAAUUUGAGAAAAAAUACAAGCGCGAAUUAGUAAAAAGAAACAUAUCCUGUGGAGCGGGUAUGACGUCAUAUAGUUAUAUACUGUUGAUAGUAUCUACUGCCAUCAUUUUGAUAAACCACAAAGUUUAGAGAUCAACUUCCGCAAUACAUCCCCAAGUAACCAUUUUGUACUUCGGGU